UCCUAAUUUGCUUCUUGUUUUGAGUAUGCCCAUUAUUCUUUUUCUAAAUUAACCUUACUAGGGACCAUUUUUACCAUGCUGUUGUUCAAAAUAAGAAGUCUCAUUGUAGUAAAUUGCAUGAUAGAUUUGACAUAUAUGACCUCCAACUUGUCUUUUCAGCUAUAUCUCCUGCCUGAGACAGGGUCUUGCUUUGCUAUGUUGUUCUCCAACUCCUGGGCUCAGGUGAUCUUCCCUCUCAAAGGAGGGAUUAUAGGGGUGAGCCACUGUUCCUGGCUCCUGAUAUUCUUAAUACGCAUUCUUUGCUCUAGCCAUAUUAUUCAUUUACCAAGCCUGAAAUAUGUUACUAUUUCUCAUGUCUUCUGUAUCUUUUCAUGUACUUUAUGUCUAGAUUGCUAUUUAUCUGCUUGGUGAAAAUUCCUUAGGAUCCACCUCAAAUGGCUCUUCUCUAUAGUCUCUUUCUAGUAUAUAGUGUUUACAUUUUGUUACAUUGCAUUUUACCUUCAUCUCUAUACAAGUCAGCUUAUUACAAUUAAUUGUUAUUUAUCUAGAGUUGUACCUUCUAUUAGACUGAAUUUCUUGAAGGCAAAAUCCAUUUCAAGUUAAUCUUUGUAUCUCUAGUUCCUAGUAUAGUACCUGCUGUGUUAACAGAUGCUGUGAUAAGUAUCUUGAUUGAUUAUUUUCUUUUUUUGCUUAAAAUUUCACAAGUCUUAUUUUUGCAAUAAAAUAAUGAGUCAUUGAAAGGCAGGAAUGCCAUUUUAACCUCACAGUUUUUACACAGUACCUGGCAGAGUUGAUACAUGGACAUGUAUGCUAUGAAUGGACUUGCUUAGAAAGAACUUUUAAUUGCUACAUCUCUCUCUCUUUUUUUUAAUUUAUUUAUUUUACUUUAGGUGCAUACUGUAUCCGGCAUCUCUCCCCAUGUUAUCCCUCCGCACCCUUCCCCUCCCUCCUACAUCUCUUACCAAAUCUCAGUUGACUUGCAUUUUUCUUAAUGUUUACCAGUUUUGCUCUUGAUGGUGACUUUCAUUUUAAGGUUACUUAGUCCAGUUUUUGGAUCAUUAAGAUAGGUAAAAAUGUGUUAACUUAGACAGACAGACAGCAAAACCAGCUAACCUUUCCAGACUAAAAUUUUUUAUUCUUAUAUCCUUUGUUAAUAAGGCCUCUGGUUGAUUUUUUUUUUUUUUAAACAGUUCUGUUAAGGUGCAGUUUACAUGUAGUAGAAUCUAUUCAUUUAAAUGCGGUUUGAUGACUUUUGGCAAAUGCACGUAGUUCUGUAACUACCAUUUUACUUAAACAGUGUAAUGUUUCCAUUAUUGCAUUACUGCACAAAGUUCCCUCUCGCUCUUUUGCAGUUGUCCCCUUCUGCUACCACCACCCACCCUCCCCCCCUGUCCUAGAAAACCUCUGGUCUGCUUUCUGUCCCUGUUGUUUUAUGGCUUCUAGCAUUUCAUGUAAUUGCAAUGAUGCAGAAAUUAUCCAUUCACU